rnacentral:rRNA from 1 species
AUACCGCGAGGUGGAGCGAAUCUCACAAAGUACGUCGUAGUCCGGAUUGGAGUCUGCAACUCGACUCCAUGAAGUCGGAAUCGCUAGUAAUCGCAAAUCAGAAUGUUGCGGUGAAUACGUUCCCGGGCCUUGUACACACCGCCCGUCACACCAUGGGAGUGGGCUGCAAAAGAAGCAGGUAGUUUAACCUUCGGGAGGACGCUUGCCACUUUGUGGUUCAUGACUGGGGUGAAGUCGUAACAAGGUAGCGCUAGGGGAACCUGGCGCUGGAUCACCUCCUUACACGAAGAU